rnacentral:misc_RNA from 1 species
GAAAUGCGAUACGUAAUGUGAAUUGCAGAAUUCAGUGAAUCAUCGAAUCUUUGAACGCAUAUUGCACUCUCCGGCACCCCGUAGAGUAUGCCUGUUUCAGUAUCAUUGGUAACCUCAAGCCUUCCCGGAUUUUUUGGGGGUGGGUUUUGGAUCUGAGCUUUGCCGGGAGGAGGAGGAGAUUCUUCCCUCCCCCCGGCUGGCUUGAAACGCAGCCACGGCAGGAACCGGGAUCAAAAGCGCAGCUAGUUGGCUUCAUCAUCUCUUGGUCAUUCUUUUCGCAAGAAAAGGCCCCGGGACCUGUGGGAAUUUGCAGGAAAAAUGGAUCGGAGAGGAGAGAAUCUUCUCCGGAAACUUGAUCUGAAAUCAGGUAGGACUACCCGCUGAACUUAA